CGUGUUUCUGGAGUGGAGGCGAGCUGGUAGGGGAGCCAUGAAUCUGGAGGAUGACAUCACUCUAGCAACAAGGAUUGUAAGUUUGUAUUAACCAAACAAACUGGAAAUAAAGGGCUUAAAAAUAAGACAAACUACAUGUUUGUUACCACACUUUAGGGCCAGACUCGCCUGUUUGUUCCAGACCAGGACUCUGGCUGAGGAGAGCUGAUGGAGGAGCCAAGACUCUGGAGGACGACAUCACUCCACCAACCAGGAUCCUCACCAGGAAUCUGGAGGACUGAUGGAGAAGCCGUACAUCUAGAAGGCAGAUCCUGAGGACGACCAGGACUCUACCAUUAAGGAUUCCUCAAAGGUUUGCAUUAUCUGGACAUGGUGGACUAGACACACCUGAGCUGAACCUCACCUGAUCCUGUUUGGUCGGGGGUAGACACACCUGAGCUAAACCCGCCCUGAUCCUGACAUCCUGCAGGUCCUGUCUCCUCAGUUCAUCUGAGCCUCGUCCUCCAGAAGACCUGCUGAGCUCAGCAGUCUGAGGCUGAUGGAUCAAUGAACUCCAGUCGGAGUGAGCUUCUUGACCCCACAUGUAACCGUGUGCUUCCACACGCCUUUCCCUCACGUCUGUCACUAACCUCACUACUUCACUUCUCUCUACUGCUUCCUCUUUUCUUCCUUCUCUGUGGUUCAAACCUUUACACUGGAGGCGCGCCUUCCUGCCCUCAGAGGGUUCAGCGUUAGGGUUGAGAGUCAGGGUUUAGAGUCAGGGACAGAGUUGGUCAGGGAGGACUGCUUUUACACAAACCUCUUCACUUGCUUUCGGAAUGGUGGUGACAUUUUGAAAAGAUUCAUUUGGGAAAAGGUUUUCCUCUGCUUUCCUUUACAAAAUUGUAUAAAACUUCUGUCAAGUGUUUUUGUUUAUAUAUUAAAAUCCCACAUUGACUUCUACAUGUUUGGUGCGGUUCAUUUAAUUAUCCUUUAACUUGGUUAAUGUCAAGCUAAACUCCUGCAAUACAUUUAAUAUACAUGAUUGUUAUUCAGCAAUGUUCACAUAAUCCAUUUUGUAAAAAUAUGAAACCUCCAUAUUACUACUAAAUUCAAGCCUAUUCAUGUAUUUAACAAUGUACAUACUGCCCCGCAGGCCAUUCUCUGCUACUACAACACGUUCAAUCCACCAACCCGUCUCGCAUCAAUGUACUAUAGCUACGUUGGUUCAAACGGAAAAUGUAGUUUGGUGUGAGACUGUUGUCCAGCAAAGGGAGCCGUCAUACACCUUAAUUAUACAGGAAUGUCUGUGUAUUUACAUUUUAAAAUGUUCAUGGGCUGGUCUAGUUUUUCUGCAAAUAACUCUGCCUCCAGCAACAGGAUUGGUUGAAACAUAUUCAAAACCUCAAAACACAUACAGAAGGUGACAAGCUUAAAUUCAGUUGGUAUUCUUGCCUGCAACACAGUCUGAUCCA